rnacentral:lncRNA from 1 species
AGGUGAGAAGGCCGACACGUGCAGAAUUCGUACGUCCUCGUCCAUCUGGAACUCCACCGUCUAAGUUUUAGACAUUUAUAUAGUUCUAUAAGAUAAGACUAGCGCUGUUGUGUAUGAACUGAACUCAGUCGAGCUCCCAGAUAGCUCAUCUGUGUAUGUGUGGAACCAUUUGAUUCAUUCGUUUCCACGUAAGCAAUAAGCAGUAAUGCAAAGGUUCUCUCACUCAAAGGUGUAAUGCUGCUAGUGGUGAAGGAUGUGUGCCGUGGCGGUGGACUGGACGCGGGGCGCGGUUGGACUUGCCCGUCAGAGACGACCACUCGCGGGGCAUCCGGUGGCCAUUGUGCGACGCUCGGACCGCAGGGGCGGGUUGUUUGGUGCGAGCUUUUGUUACCGGGCGGCGAGGGAACCUACUUCGCGGGAAUCGAGACUUAGAGGAGUCUCUUCCCACUGGCAUCAUUGUUGUUCCUUCGGUGCCGGGAAUCGACGGUUAUUAUGAAUUUACGAUGCAUCGGCGUGUCUUUUCCACGAGUGCCUGUAGUUGGGUUGAAGCUCUGUGGUUGCUAAACUACAAUGUGCUGGGCUUAUCACUCCUAUAAAUUGUCAUGAAAAUAAUUUGUUAAGUUGAUAAUUUUUUUGAUAAGAUAGGCACAAGCUAAUUAAACAUGGUUGUGACUAGGUCUCAGUCGACUGAGAUUUAAUCAAGUCUCAGUCAAGUGACGUAACCUGUAAAAAAAAA